GACGUAGGGUGCAAGCGUUGUCCGGAUUUAUUGGGCGUAAAGAGCUCGUAGGCGGCUUGUUGCGUCGACUGUGAAAACCCGCGGCUUAACUGCGGGCUUGCAGUCGAUACGGGCAGGCUAGAGUUCGGUAGGGGAGACUGGAAUUCCUGGUGUAGCGGUGAAAUGCGCAGAUAUCUGGAGGAACACCGGUGGCGAAGGCGGCGUUCUGGACUGCAACUGACGCUGAGAAACGAAAGCCAGGGUAGCAAACGGG
rnacentral:rRNA from 1 species